rnacentral:rRNA from 1 species
UACAGAGGGGGGCAAGCGUUUAUUCGGAAUUAUUGGGCGUAAAGGGCGCGUAGGCGGCUUGGCAAGUGGAUGGUGAAAUCCCUCGGCUUAACCGAGGAACUGCCGUCCAAACUGCUUUGCUUGAGACCGGGAGAGGUGAGUGGAAUUCCCAGUGUAGCGGUGAAAUGCGUAGAUAUUGGGAGGAACACCAGUGGCGAAGGCGGCUCACUGGACCGGUACUGACGCUGAUGCGCGAAAGCGUGGGGAGCAAACGGG